rnacentral:rRNA from 1 species
UGGAAGCGUCUGGAAAGGCGCGCGAUACAGGGUGACAGCCCCGUACACAAAAAUGCACAUAUUGUGAGCUCGAUGAGUAGGGCGGGACACGUGGUAUCCUGUCUGAAUAUGGGGGGCCCAUCCUCCAAGGCUAAAUACUCCUGACUGACCGAUAGUGAACCAGUACCGUGAGGGAAAGGCGAAAAGAACCCCGGCGAGGGGAGUGAAAAAGAACCUGAAACCGUGUACGUACAAGCAGUGGGAGCACGCUUAGGCGUGUGACUGCGUACCUUUUGUAUAAUGGGUCAGCGACUUAUAUUCUGUAGCAAGGUUAACCGAAUAGGGGAGCCGAAGGGAAACCGAGUCUUAACUGGGCGUUAAGUUGCAGGGUAUAGACCCGAAACCCGGUGAUCUAGCCAUGGGCAGGUUGAAGGUUGGGUAACACUAACUGGAGGACCGAACCGACUAAUGUUGAAAAAUUAGCGGAUGACUUGUGGCUGGGGGUGAAAGGCCAAUCAAACCGGGAGAUAGCUGGUUCUCCCCGAAAGCUAUUUAGGUAGCGCCUCGUGAAUUCAUCUCCGGGGGUAGAGCACUGUUUCGGCAAGGGGGUCAUCCCGACUUACCAACCCGAUGCAAACUGCGAAUACCGGAGAAUGUUAUCACGGGAGACACACGGCGGGUGCUAACGUCCGUCGUGAAGAGGGAAACAACCCAGACCGCCAGCUAAGGUCCCAAAGUCAUGGUUAAGUGGGAAACGAUGUGGGAAGGCCCAGACAGCCAGGAUGUUGGCUUAGAAGCAGCCAUCAUUUAAAGAAAGCGUAAUAGCUCACUGGUCGAGUCGGCCUGCGCGGAAGAUGUAACGGGGCUAAACCAU